GUUUAUGUGUACUUGUUUAUGAUUGAUCAUUAACUAUUCAUGCUUCAGUACUGAGCAGACAUUUAAAGACUGCCACCAGGUUGGGCAGAGGUUCAAGCUAAGCAGUAGUGACAUUUCAGUCAAAGAAGAAAAGACAUAAUACAUGGCUGAUAUAACCAAACAGGCAAGUUAAUAUGGGUUGAGAAGGAACUAGGCAAUAGCAGGGCUUCUUUGAAGAGGAUGGCUAAAGAGAGGAAGGGGUUCCACCUGCAACACUGCACAUUUGUGUAAGGCCUUCAGCACAGCUCUGCCACUAUGUAAAAAAGGAACUCAAGUCCCGUGUUGCAAUUCUGUGGUAUUGCGGUGAAAUGGAGCAUCCCUUUCCUUUCAGAGUUUACAAGUAUUUAUAAGGGAGCCAGCACUUUGCUUCCUUCAGAUCACAACACCAACCUGCCUGACAACUUCAACUAACAGGCGUGGGAAAAGGUAAGAAUUCCUUUCUUCUCUAACACUGGGGCAGCACAAGCCUGGCUCCAGCAGACUUCAAAUGAAACUAAAGAAAACUUAAAAAAAAAAAUUUUA
rnacentral:lncRNA from 1 species